CUGCCUGUGCCAUAGCAGGACCCGUGCCCUCCAAUUCCAUCUCGUACCAUCUGCCUGUGCCAUAGCAGGACCCGUGCCCUCAAAUUCCAUCUCGUACCAUCUGCCUGUGCCAUAGCAGGACCCAUGAUCUCAAAUUCCAUCUCGUACCAUCUGCCUGUGCCAUAGCAGGACCCGUGCCCUCAAAUUCCAUCUCGUACCAUCUGCCUGUGCCAUAGCAGGACCCGUGCCCUCAAAUUCAGGCUCUUAACAUCUGCCUGUGCCAUAGCAGUACCCAAGCUCUCAAAUUCCAUCUCGUACCAUCUGCCUGUGCCAUAGCAGGGCCCGUG
rnacentral:lncRNA from 1 species